rnacentral:rRNA from 1 species
GACGAACGCUGGCGGCGUGCUUAACACAUGCAAGUCGAACGGAAAGGCCCUGCUUUUGUGGGGUGCUCGAGUGGCGAACGGGUGAGUAACACGUGAGUAACCUGCCCUUGACUUUGGGAUAACUUCAGGAAACUGGGGCUAAUACCGGAUAGGAGCUCCUGCUGCAUGGUGGGGGUUGGAAAGUUUCGGCGGUUGGGGCUGGACUCGCGGCUUAUCAGCUUGUUGGUGGAGUAGUGGCUUACCAAGGCUUUGACGGGUAGCCGGCCUGGGAGGGUGACCGGCCACCUUGGGACUGCGAUACGGCCCAGACUCCUACGGGCGGCAACAGUGGGGAAUAUUGCACAAUGGGCGGAAGCCUGAUGCAGCAACGCCGCGUGCGGGAUGACGGCCUUCGGGUUAUGAACCGCUUUCGCCUGUGACGAAGCGUGAGUGACGGUACUGGGUAAAGAAGCACCGGCUAACUACGUG